rnacentral:rRNA from 1 species
UACGUAGGGGGCAAGCGUUGUCCGGAUUUAUUGGGCGUAAAGAGCGUGUAGGCGGCCAGACAGGUCAGCUGUGAAAACUCGAGGCUCAACCUCGAGACGUCGGUUGAAACCGUCUGGCUAGAGUCCGGAAGAGGAGAGUGGAAUUCCCGGUGUAGCGGUGAAAUGCGCAGAUAUCGGGGAAGAACACCCGUGGCGAAGGCGGCUCACUGGCCCGAUACUGACGCUGAGGCACGAAAGCGUGGGGAGCAAACAGG